GGCCCCGCCCCGGCGCCGGAACCACGUGGUGCCUGUUUUGUCGUCCACGCUGCAGACUGGCCGGAGUUACCGCGGGCUGGAAUCGUUCCUCAUGAAAACAUCUUGAGUCCAGGAUCUCCAAUUGCACUCACGCGCUGCGAGUGCAGAAGGAGAGUCCCGUGCCGCUUGGCGCCUGGUUCUGAGCCAGGUACAGCCCUGGCCUUCGGUCUGUCCCCGAGGGCUGAGGCUUCUUGCGGUCUGGGUGCAAGAACAAAAUACGGUUUCUGGAUCGGAAGCCGAGGGUCUGGUGGCCGGCCGGUGGUGAGCGACGCAACUGGGCGGCGAGCGACCUCCUGAUCUCGACCCCUUGUUGCCGAUGGCCAUGGAACCCUUUUACUGGUGGUAUUCGUUCAGAGCAGUUUUCGUGUGUGUUUCAGAGUGGCGUGGCCUAGAGGGCUCCUGGAUCUAGAAUAGAUCCUCUCUGCCCUUAUUUGCCAGUACAUCCUCGUUUUUAAUCUGCUGCAUAGCACGUGGUGGGUUUUAUUAGCUGACAUAGUAGGGACUCAAUAUCUACCUAUUGGGUAAAUAAAUGAAUAAAACAAAUGGUGGUUAAACCUGGGGAAGUAGCAUGCUGUUAAAUGUAAGAAAAUGAGGCUGUGAAUAUAGAGGUUACAGGAAUGGGUUUUGAAGCCAAGCAACGCCGCAGCUCAACACUCAGUUUUUUUUUUUUUUCCUUUUUUUUUUUUUUUUUUUUGGCGCGUUGGGGAGACGGGAGUCUCGCCCAGGCUGGAGUGCAGUGGUGCGAUCUCGGCUCACUGCAACCUCCACCUCCCGGGUUCAAGCAAUUCCCCUGCCUCAGCCUCCCAAGUAGCUGGGACUACAGGCGUACGCUGCCAUGCCCAGCUAAUUUUUUGUGUUUAUUUUUAGUAGAGUCGGGGUUUCACCGCGUUGCCCAGGCUGGUCUCGAACUCCUGAGCUCAGGCAAUCCCCCCGCCUCGGCCUCCCAGAGUGCUAGGAUUACAGGCGUGAGCCACCGCGCGCGGCCUGGUCUGUUACUCAGGCAAAUCCUUUUUCCUGAACCUUAGUCUCCUCACCUGCGAAACUAAGAUAAUACCUACUCUGUAGAAUUAAUGUAAGGAUUGGUAUGUUGACUAAAGAAAAAAUAUUAAGCUUUUAAAUAAUUAAAAUUAGUUUUAUUUAGAAGCCUUAUUGAGGACUAUAGACUGAGGCCUGUAGCCCAGGAGUAAUCUUGUGAGGCUCCUCUAACACGGUAUUUUAGUUUAGGUUAUACAUAGGUGAAGAUUUAGUAUGUGUAAAAUCAUAUCAAAGUUUAGGGAUAAGUAUAUCUGGUUAUAGAUUGCAGAGUAUAAUCAUUAACCCUGUCAGACAUGAUCGUAUGUUUAGGAGAAGGCAAAGAGUAGGUCAUUUAUCUUUGAAGGAAUGUAGUGACUCAGGCAAGAGAUUUGGAGGGCAGGGGUGUUUUGUUUUGUCUUUAAGGCAUUUUUUU
rnacentral:lncRNA from 1 species